rnacentral:rRNA from 1 species
CCCUUAGAUGUUCUGGGCUGCACGCGCGCUACACUGAUGCGCUCAACGAGUUUAUGACCUUGCCCGGAAGGGUUGGGUAAUCUUCUUAAAACGCAUCGUGAUGGGGAUAGAUUAUUGCAAUUAUUAAUCUUCAACGAGGAAUUCCUAGUAAGCGCGAGUCAUCAGCUCGUGCUGAUUACGUCCCUGCCCUUUGUACACACCGCCCGUCGCACCUACCGAUUGAAUGGUUCGGUGAAGAUCUCGGACUUCGAUAUUUAUUCUUUAUUGAGUUUAUAUUGUGGGAAGUUAUCUAAACCUCAUCAUUUAGAGGAAGGUGAAGUCGUAACA